rnacentral:rRNA from 1 species
UAUGGUUAAGCUUUUAAGGGCUGACGGCGGAUGCCUUGGCACCAGGAGGCGAUGAAGGACGCGGAAAGCUGCGAUAAGCUUCGGUGAGCUGCUAACAGGCUUUGACCCGGAGAUUUCCGAAUGGGGAAACCCGGCAGAGGUAAUGCUUUGUCAUCGUUCAAUGAAUACAUAGUUGGACGAAGCGAACGGGGGGAAGUGAAACAUCUCAGUACCCCCAGGAAUAGAAAUCAAUUGAGAUUCCGUGAGUAGCGGCGAGCGAAAGCGGAAGAGCCCAAACCAGUCAAUUUAUUGGCUGGGGUUGUAGGACCCCGAUGUGGGAUUGGUGAGAAAUAGCGGAAAGGUCUGGAAAGGCCUGCCAGAGACGGUGAUAGUCCGGUACGCAAAAUUUUGAUCCACCCUAGGGAGUUCCUGAGUACCACGAGACACGUGAAACCUUGUGGGAAUCUGGGAGGACCAUCUUCCAAGGCUAAAUACUACCUGGUGACCGAUAGUGAACGAGUACCGUGAGGGAAAGGUGAAAAGAACCCCGGGAGGGGAGUGAAAUAGAAACUGAAACCGUCAGCUUACAAGCAGUUGGAGCAUUAAUUUAUUAGUGUGACAGCGUGCCUUUUGCAUAAUGAGUCAACGACUUACCCUAUGUAGCAAGGUUAAGCCGUUAGGUGGAGCCGCAGCGAAAGCGAGUCUUAAACGGGCGUGUAGUUACAUGGGGUAGACCCGAAGCCGGGUGAUCUAUCCAUGUCCAGGGUGAAGUUUCGGUAACACGAAAUGGAGGCCCGAACCGAUAUAGGUUGAAAACUGUUCGGAUGAGGUGUGGAUAGGAGUGAAAGGCUAAUCAAACUCGGUGAUAGCUGGUUUUCUCCGAAAUAUAUUUAGGUAUAGCCUUGCGUGAUGACUGUUGGAGGUAGAGCACUGACAGGACUAGGGGUCCCACCGGAUUACCAACUCCUUUCAAACUCCGAAUGCCAACAAGUUCUAGCGCAGGAGUCAGACUGCGGGAGAUAAGUUCCGUAGUCGAGAGGGAAAGAACCCAGACCGCCGAUUAAGGUCCCUAAAUUUGCACUAAGUGGGAAAGGAGGUGGAAUUGCACAGACAACCAGGAGGUUGGCUUAGAAGCAGCAACCCUUUAAAGAAAGCGUAAUAGCUCACUGGUCUAGUGAAUCCGCGCCGAAAAUGUAACGGGGCUGAAGUGCAAUACCGAAAUCGCGGAAUGAAAUUUAUUUCAUUGGUAGGAGAACAUUGUGUAGGCCUGAGAAGGUGUAUGGUAACGUAUGCUGGAGGUAUCACAAGAGCUUAUGUUGACACGAGUAGCGAUAAAGGGAGCGAGAAACUCCCUCGCCGUAAGUCCAAGGUUUCCUCAGGUCAAGUUAAUCUUCCGAGGGUUAGUCGGCCCCUAAGGCGAGGCUGAAAAGCGUAGUCGAUGGGAAACAGGUUAAUAAUCCUGUACCGCUGGUAUGGAGUUACUGUAUAAGGGGGGACGGAGAAGGAUAGACUAUCCGUCUGUUGGAAUAGACGGUUUAAGCAUGUAGGCUUGAAACUUUGGUAAAUCCGGGUUUCUUUCAGGCUGAGAUGUGAUGACGAGUCCCUAACGGGACACAAAGUAGUUGAUUCCAAGCUUCCUGGAAAAUCCUCGUAUACAUUCAUACUGGUGACCGUACCGCAAACCAACACAGGUGGACAGGUAGAGAAUACCAAGGCGCUUGAGAGAACUCUGGUUAAGGAACUCGGCAAAAUAGCACCGUAACUUCGGGAGAAGGUGUGCCUCUGUUACGUGAAGUCAUUUACUGAUUGAGCGGAAGGAGGUUGCAGUGAAAUGGGGGGAGCGACUGUUUACUAAAAACACAGGACUAUGCGAAGUCGUAAGACGAUGUAUAUGGUCUGACGCCUGCCCGGUGCCGGAAGGUUAAGGGGACUUGUCAGCGCAAGCGAAGCAAUGAACCGAAGCCCCGGUAAACGGCGGCCGUAACUAUAACGGUCCUAAGGUAGCGAAAUUCCUUGUCGGGUAAGUUCCGACCUGCACGAAUGGCGUAACGAUUUCCCCACUGUCUCAACCAGAGACUCAGCGAAACUGUAGUA